UUGGACGUGAUAUCAAACAAGAUUACC
rnacentral:rRNA from 1 species